rnacentral:rRNA from 1 species
GACGAACGCUGGCGGCGUGCUUAACACAUGCAAGUCGAACGGAAAGGCUCCAGCUUGCUGGAGUACUCGAGUGGCGAACGGGUGAGUAACACGUGGGUAAUCUGCCCUGCACUCUGGGAUAAGCCUGGGAAACUGGGUCUAAUACUGGAUAUGACCUUUCUCCUUAUGGGGUUUGGUGGAAAGUUUUUCGGUGUAGGAUGAGCCCGCGGCCUAUCGGCUUGUUGGUGGGGUGAUGGCCUACCAAGGCAACGACGGGUAGCCGGCCUGAGAGGGUGAGCGGACAAAUUGGGACUGAGAUACGGCCCAGACUCCUACGGGAGGCAGCAGUGGGGAAUAGUGCACAAUGGGCGGAAGCAUGAUGCAGCGACGCCGCGUGAGGGAUGACGGCAUUCGGGUUGUAAACCUAUUUCAGCAGGGACGAAGCGUAAGUGACGGUACCUGCAGAAGAAGCACCGGCUAACUAUGUG